rnacentral:rRNA from 1 species
AGUGGUAAUGCACUCGGCAAACGGCUCAGUAACACGUGGGUAACCUACCCUUAGGACAGGAAUAACCCCGGAAAACUGGGGAUAAUGCCUGAUAGGUGGAGAAGUCUGGAACGGCUCUCCGCUCAAAUGCUCCGGCGCCUGAGGAUGGGCCUGCGACCGAUUAGGUUGUUGGUGGUGUAAUGGACCACCAAGCCUGAGAUCGGUACGGGCACUGAGAGGUGUAGCCCGGAGAUGGGGACCGAGACACGGCCCCAGGCCCUACGGGGCGCAGCAGGCGCGAAAACUCCGCAAUACACGAAAGUGUGACGGGGGAACCCCGAGUGCACUCACGCAAGUGAGUGCUUUUGUGAAGUGUAAAUAGCUUCACGAAUAAGAGCUGGGUAAGACCGGUGCCAGCCGCCGCGGUAACACCGGCAGCUCGAGUGGUGAUCACUAUUAUUGGGCCUAAAGCGUCCGUAGCCGGUUUAGUAAAUGCCUGGGUAAAUCGUGUAGCUUAACUAUACGAAUUCCGGGUAGACUGCUAAACUUGAGACCGGGAGAGGCUAGAGGUACUUCUGGGGUAGAGGUGAAAUUCUGUAAUCCUAGGGGGACCACCAGUGGCGAAGGCGUCUAGCUAGAACGGGUCUGACGGUGAGGGACGAAGCCCUGGGGCGCAAACCGGAUUAGAUACCCGGGUAGUCCAGGGUGUAAACGCUGCUUGCUUGAUGUUAGUCGGGCUCU